GGGGGGGGGGGGCGGGGGGCUGGGGGGGGGCGGGGCGGAGGGAAGGGGCCGGCGUUUGUGGGGUGCUCGGGUGGCGAACGGGUGAGUAACACGUGGGUAACCUGCCCUUGACUUUGGGAUAACUUCAGGAAACUGGGGCUAAUGCCGGCUAGGAGCUCCUGCUGCAUGGUGGGGGUUGGAGAGUUUCGGCGGUUGGGGAUGGACUCGCGGCUUAUCAGCUUGUUGGUGGGGUAGUGGCUUACCAAGGCUUUGACGGGUCGCCGGCCUGAGAGGGUGACCGGCCACAUUGGGACUGAGAUACGGCCCAGACUCCUACGGGAGGCAGCAGUGGGGAAUAUUGCACAAUGGGCGGAAGCCUGAUGCAGCAACGCCGCGGGCGGGAUGACGGCCUUCGGGGUGUAAACCGCUUUCGCCUGUGACGAAGCGUGAGUGACGGUAAUGGGUAAAGAAGCACCGGCUAACUACGUG
rnacentral:rRNA from 1 species